rnacentral:tRNA from 1 species
GCAGGUAGCUCAGGUGGUUAGAGCUUGGUGCUGAUAACGCCAAGGUUGCAGGUUCGAUUCUUGUAUGGGACAGCUGCA